UUUUUAUUGUGGGACUUAUCAAUAAAAACAGGUUAAACACUCAAAAAAAUAUGUCGAAUCCACUGAAACGAGAAAGAAAUGUGGGAAGAUAAUAAGUCAAGAUAGAUUAAAUAGUUUAGCAAUUAUGUCGAUUGAAAGUGAAGACUCAAGGAAAUUAGAUUUUCAAACAAUUUUAGAAGAAAUUACAGAACAAAAACUUAGAAAUAUGUACAUUCAUGUAUUCAUAUUCGGUGAUGUAAAUUUAUAUUCAAUAAAUGUUUCUGUAUUUUGAA